ACCAUAUGCACAAGCGUACGAUGGCAGUUUAACCGUUUCCCAUGGCGACUCCAAACUACAGCGCCACAGAGCCAAGGGGCAGCGUCAACACCGGUGAAACCAAAACUAUUUGCGACCCUGCUUCAGAUCCAGGUGUUCACCACAGGUUCUCCACUGAGGGCCAUCGCCUUUACAGUGUGAAAAUGAGCACCAUUCACUAAUCCAAGGACAGAAAUGCACUGGUCUAAAGGUGGAGAAUCGUUGUGCUUGGUUCAUUUAUGAACAUUCAAACUGGCGAUUUUAAAGAUAUCGGCUCCAGAGGAAACCCGGAAUAACGUGCUUAGGCACAUGGGCCCGCACAGCGCUUCAGGACCAAGAAGCAUAAACAUUCAAUCAUGAACAUUUAUUAUUAUUUAUGUUGUAG